rnacentral:rRNA from 1 species
UACGAAGGGGGCUAGCGUUGUUCGGAAUUACUGGGCGUAAAGCGCACGUAGGCGGAUUGUUAAGUCGGGGGUGAAAUCCUGGAGCUCAACUCCAGAACUGCCUUCGAUACUGGCGAUCUCGAGUUCGGGAGAGGUGAGUGGAACUGCGAGUGUAGAGGUGAAAUUCGUAGAUAUUCGCAAGAACACCAGUGGCGAAGGCGGCUCACUGGCCCGAUACUGACGCUGAGGUGCGAAAGCGUGGGGAGCAAACAGG